GCGAACGGGUGAGUAACACGUGAGUAACCUGCCCUUAACUCUGGGAUAAGCCUUGGAAACGGGGUCUAAUACUGGAUAUUGACUUUUCCUCGCAUGGGGAUUGGUUGAAAGAUUUAUUGGUUUUGGAUGGACUCGCGGCCUAUCAGCUUGUUGGUGAGGUAAUGGCUCACCAAGGCGACGACGGGUAGCCGGCCUGAGAGGGUGACCGGCCACACUGGGACUGAGACACGGCCCAGACUCCUACGGGAGGCAGCAGUGGGGAAUAUUGCACAAUGGGCGAAAGCCUGAUGCAGCGACGCCGCGUGAGGGAUGACGGCCUUCGGGUUGUAAACCUCUUUCAGUAGGGAACAAGGCCAGUGUUUAGCUGGUUGAGGGUACUUGCAGAAGAAGCGCCGGCUAACUACGUGCCAGCAGCCGCGGUAAUACGUAGGGCGCAAGCGUUAUCCGGAAUUAUUGGGCGUAAAGAGCUCGUAGGCGGUUUGUCGCGUCUGCCGUGAAAGUCCGGGGCUCAACCCCGGAUCUGCGGUGGGUACGGGCAGACUAGAGUGAUGUAGGGGAGACUGGAAUUCCUGGUGUAGCGGUGAAAUGCGCAGAUAUCAGGAGGAACACCGAUGGCGAAGGCAGGUCUCUGGGCAUUAACUGACGCUGAGGAGCGAAAGCAUGGGGAGCGAACAGGAUUAGAUACCCUGGUAGUCCAUGCCGUAAACGUUGGGCACUAGGUGUGGGGGACAUUCCACGUUUUCCGCGCCGUAGCUAACGCAUUAAGUGCCCCGCCUGGGGAGUACGGCCGCAAGGCUAAAACUCAAAGGAAUUGACGGGGGCCCGCACAAGCGGCGGAGCAUGCGGAUUAAUUCGAUGCAACGCGAAGAACCUUACCAAGGCUUGACAUGAACUGGAAACACCUGGAAACAGGUGCCCCGCUUGCGGUCGGUUUACAGGUGGUGCAUGGUUGUCGUCAGCUCGUGUCGUGAGAUGUUGGGUUAAGUCCCGCAACGAGCGCAACCCUCGUUCUAUGUUGCCAGCACGUUAUGGUGGGGACUCAUAGGAGACUGCCGGGGUCAACUCCGAAGGAAGGUGAGGACGACGUCAAAUCAUCAUGCUA
rnacentral:rRNA from 1 species